rnacentral:rRNA from 1 species
CAGUAGCCGCGGGAAUACGUAGGUGGCAAGCGUUGUCCGGAAUUAUUGGGCGUAAAGGGCUCGCAGGCGGUUUCUUAAGUCUGAUGUGAAAGCCCCCGGCUCAACCGGGGAGGGUCAUUGGAAACUGGGAAACUUGAGUGCAGAAGAGGAGAGUGGAAUUCCACGUGUAGCGGUGAAAUGCGUAGAGAUGUGGAGGAACACCAGUGGCGAAGGCGACUCUCUGGUCUGUAACUGACGCUGAGGAGCGAAAGCGUGGGGAGCGAACAGGAUUAGAUACCCCGGUAGUCCCUGUCUCUUAUAC